rnacentral:tRNA from 1 species
GAGGGUAUAGCUCAGUGGUAGAGCACAUGCUUAGCACACUUGAGGUCCAGGGCUCAAUCCCCAGUACCUCCG